rnacentral:lncRNA from 1 species
AAAAAAAAGUUUUGUUCUACUAAAUUUUGAAAAUUGUUAUUUUUUGUUGUAAAUGAUGGAAAUUUUUUAUGGAUCAUGCAUAGUAAUGGCCCCAUAAGUAAAUUAAUGAGUUAGAUCAAAUAUUUAAUCUAACUAGUACAACAGCUGAGAGACACUUUUGGGAUAAAUAAAUUUUCUCACACCUGAAAUUAUUUUUUUACUAUUGCUUUUUUUGAAUUGGGCUGAAUUGUUACAACAAAAUUGGUUUUAAAAGAGGUUAGAGAUAUUUUCAAAACCUCGUGAGAGGGCAAUGAAAUUGUUAGAGACCUCAAGGGAGGUUUUUGAAAUUAUCCUAGGAUCUUAUUCCAAGAAGUUAAUGAUGUACAUGAUUCAAAUUUAGAUCUUUGCGACUAGUAUAUUCCUUUUUCAUUUUGACAUUUUCUCUUGUAAAGAACUGGCUCAUAUUUUUUUUGUUAAUUGUAUGCAAUCUAACUUGUUGCACUUGUUAUACAAAUUCUAUUAUUUUCUCCUAGAAUUUUCUCUAAAAAUGACAAUUCUCCAUGAAGGUUAAUGAUAUUCCUUCAAAUGAUUUUAUCUUUACUUUCCCAUAUGAUAAGUAUACUUCCUUUUCAUACUACAGAGAAAAUACUCUGUUAUGGCAUUCCUUCAAAUGGUUUGAUCUUUGCUUUUCCACAUGAUGAGUAUAAUUCCUUUCGAACUACAAAGAAAACACUCUGCUAUGUCAUUUAGAAAUUUCUCUAGAUUCAAGUCUGCUAUAUUUUGGUUGCUUACUGAAUUGUUGAUAAGCCAUUAAAAAAUGGAUUGACUUUUUAUGCAUUUGACAGUGUAGUGACUUUUUUGCACUAGCGGCUAUGGAUGUAUAUCAUACGUGCAUGAUUUGAGUUUCAAAUUUGAAUUUAUGUUAUGUGAUAUAUGAUCUAAAACUACUAGUGUAAAAAAAAAAUUAUACAUUGACAGUGUAUAAAAAAUUUACUCUUAUCUGUAAGAUGUGCUCUAUCUGGAAAUGCACUAACAGAGUAUGUAUUUUUUAAGCAUGCUACCUACAACUAUGGAUAGAUGUUUUUUCUACUUUGUUUUGGUGAUGUCCCAGUAUAUCUUUUCUUGUUCAGAUUGACUAUUUUGUUUCAGCGAAUGUACAUAAUGAAAUAUGUUAUGCCAAAAGUUUUGUACAUUAUAAUGUCCAAUGUAAAGUUGUUUGGCUUAUUGGACUUUGUAUUGUGCUGUCAAUAAUUAGGCCAUUGUGCCUUAGACAACGAUGGGAUAGAAAGCAUUGCUCUAGAUAUGCUUUCUUUACAGCCCUAUACUCUAGGAUUUGGACUAAUAAUCUCAUGGUUUCUCCUAUAUCCAGCAAAAAUCAAUUUCACUGUUAGUAGGUUUCAGUUUCAACUUCAUAAAUGAAAUCCUUUUUCUUUUUUUUUUUUUUUUGUCUUUUGUUGAGAAAGAGUGAAUGGUGUGUUUUGUCCUUAAGCUAGAGAUUAGCAGUGAGAUAAACUUGGUAGGUUUUAGCUAAUUUAGAGUUAAAAGCUAGGGCUGGUAGGUGAGAAUUUCAUUUAUUGCUAGAGGUACGAAGUGGAAUUAGUGCUUAUCACCGGUCUACAGAGUCCUUGCCAGAAUCUACUUGUGUAAGUGAUUAUAGCUCAAGCCCUCGAAUCUUUUUGACUUUCACUUUCUUGUUGGACCACAAUUGCAUUCAUUUUCGUACAAGGAAGCAAUUGCUUGUAAUAUCUAAACUUCAUCCCGUGCCACUAUCUUAAACGGGCUUUAUCAAUCAUCUAUUGCUUUUCCAUUAGAUCCAAGAAACGUGCGAUUAAUGUCUGCAUUAUUGCGCUAAACAGUUGAUGCAACAGCCUAGAGAUAUGGCUAAGAGAUUGUGCAGGGAAAUUGAAUUUUGUGCCUUGGUGUAAAAGAACUGCUGCUGCCGCCGCUGCUUCUAGCUGAUAUUGGCUCUGGCAUAUACCACCUAUGCCGAUUAUGUUCAAGAUCAAGCACGAAGGCACUCACCAAGCUUCUCCUACUUUUCCAUCCUUUUUUUCUUCCUUCAGUCUUUCGGGCCGGUCCAGGGGGUGUGAAGAGUUAAAAAUCUUGAACUCCUGCAUUGCAUUCAUGUUCAUUGUUGGAUUGGUGAAGGAAGGGUUGGUAAUAAAGUUGGAGAGUUUGCCUUUACACACAGGACCUUCGAGAAUAAUAAACAUUGGAAUGGGGAGGAAAUCAUAUUGAUUGCAGCUUUCUCUGGUGGAGGAGUUGCCAUGCUUCUCCUUCAGAUCUAGAGUUACCUUUUAAGGGCUUUUGGUUGGAUUUGGAGUAGAACAUAUUCUAGUCUAGGAUGCUAGUUUUUCAUUCUUCAAGAAUCCCAUCCAGAAACAACAAAUCUUGACCAUGUUUUACUUUAGCUUCAAUUGUUGUAGUCUGUUAUAUGUAUGCCAUCCUACACAGAGGCAGUAUGAUACCUAAAACUUGCCAGACUUGCUCGGAAUGAUUACCUUGCUAAUUAUUCAAUUUCUUAAUCGACAAGGGAAUGAGUAGAUGCAGUAAUCAUUUGUGUCCUUUUGUCUUUCUUGAGGGUUCUGGUGGAAAGAUCGCUUGCCUUGCCUGAGCGACAGCCACUGGUUUAACUAAUCCGCUAUUAUCAUGUUUUGCCGGCCAGCCAGCUAAGUCCACUUCCAUGAAACUUGUGCAUGUGACCAUGUGUCAGUCUGUUCCCUCAAGAAGAAGCAAGGAAUAAGAUUCAAUCAUUGAUAUCAACUGCUUUAGUCUUUUAGUAUACACUUCCACUAGCACUAAAACAGGAUCUAGUAAUCCGCCUACUUAAGUUAGUGGGGAAGAAAGGGACAUGAGGAAUUAAAAAAUCUUUACCAGUUGGCUGAAAAGUCUCAUUAUUUGAUACCACUAUGCACUUCCCCAUAUGGAAAUGUCCUAAUUCAACCCAUCAUACCAUGUCAAAUAGCAGAAAAUUUCUAAGCAGGAUUGAAGAUCAAAGUCUUUCAAGGCAAAACAGGUAAUAAGAAAAGAAAAAGUAUCUCAUUACUGUAAUAAUUUUGACCCCAAUUAUUUCUCAGGCGAAUGGGGACAAAGGACAUUCAGGGUAUGCUAACAAAACUCUACAUACAGCAAAGAAUGGGGAACGGAUACCAAACCAACUUGAGACAAAUACUAAAAUCAAUCAGGCAUUUUAGCUUUUCUAAAUCAAAUCCCAAGUGAAUAUAGGCUGAGCUGAAGCCAUGGCUGUACUUGUUGAAGUUGUU